UUCUAUCAGUUGCCUUUUGUUAGACCAUGCCAUUCCUCUAGUAAUUUACCUUUUACACAGUGUUUGGGGACGUUCACCAUAAUGUCAACCACUAGAGUAUCUGGUGCAACCACAUACUCCUGACCACCAUCACACACCUGGAGUUUUGCAUCAGUGCAGUGUAAACAACAGACAAGUAUAUGUAUGAUACCAUAGCAGUGUACCUAGUAGUUGAUGAAGGCUCCAGCUUGAGGAGGACCAUAUAGCUAUGCUUCAUUGAUCUGAUGAAAGGUAGGUGACAGUGUAAGGUAUAUACUUGCCAGUGUAAGUGAUAGUGUAAGGUAUAUACUUGCCAGUGUAGGUGUCAGUGUAAGGUAUAUACUUGCCAGUGUAAGUGAUAGUGUAAGGUAUAUACUUGCCAGUGUAGGUGAUAGUGUAAGGUAUAUUCUUGCCAGUGUAGGUGAUAGUAUAAGGUAUAUACUUGCCAGUGUGGGUGAUAGUGUAAGGUAUAUACUUGCCAGUGUAGGUGACAGUGUAAGGUAUAUACUUGCCAGUGUAGGUGACAGUGUAAGGUAAAUACUUGCCAGUGUAGGUGAUAGUGUAAGGUACAUACUUGCCAGUGUAGGUGACAGUGUAAGGUAUAUACUUGCCAGUGUAGGUGAUAGUGUAAGGUAUAUACUUGCCAGUGUAGGUGAUAGUGUAAGGUACAUACUUGCCAGUGUAGGUGACAGUGUAAGGUAUAUACUUGCCAGUGUAGGUGAUAGUGUAAGGUAUAUACUUGCCAGUGUAGGUGACAGUGUAAGGUAUAUACUUGCCAGUGUGGGUGAUAGUGUAAGGUAUAUACUUGCCAGUGUAGGUGACAGUGUAAG